GUCAGCAUUAGGAUUUUAAACCCUAAACUGAACUUUUCCAUUCAGCCAGCAUUAGGGUUUUAAACCCUAAACUGAGCUUUUCCAUGCAAUCAGCAUUAGGGUUUUAAACCCUAAACUGAAUUUUUCCUUUAAUCAGCAUUAGGGUUUUAAACCCUAAACUGAACUUUUUUCCAUUCAGCCAGCAUUAGGGUUUUAAACCCUAAACUGAGCUUUUCCAUACAGUCAGCAUUAGGGUUUUAAACCCUAAACUAACCUUUAAUCAGCAUUAGGGUUUUAAACCCUAACUAAACUUUUUUCCUUUCAGCCAACAUUAGGGUUUUAAACCCUAAACUGAGCUUUUCCAUGCAAUCAGCAUUAGGGUUUUAAACCCUAAACUGAGCUUUUCCAUGCAAUCAGCAUUAGGGUUUCUAAACCCUAACUGAACUUUUUUCUUUUCAGCCAGCAUUAGGGUUUUAAACCCUAAACUGAGCUUUUCCAUGCAUUCAACAUUAGGGUUUUAAACCCUAAACUGACCUUUAAUCAGCAUUAGGGUUUUAAACCCUAACUGAACUUUUUUCCUUUCAGCUAGCAUUAGGGUUUUAAACCCUAAACUGAGCUUUUCCAUGGAAUCAGCAUUAGGGUUUUAAACCCAAAACUGAUAUUUUCCAUGCAAUCAGAAUUAGGGUUUUAAAACCCUAACCUGAACCUUUUUCCAUUCAGCCAGCAUUAGGGUUUUAAACCCUAAACUGAGCUUUUCCAUGCAAUCAGCAUUGGGGUUUUAAACCCUAAACUGAAUUUUUCCUUUAAUCAGCAUUAGGGUUUCAAACCCUAA
rnacentral:lncRNA from 1 species